rnacentral:rRNA from 1 species
CAUGUCCAUACGACGAGGAUAACGGCUGGAAACGGCUGCUAAGACUGGAUAGGAAUAUAAAAGGCAUCUUUAAUAUUUUAAAGGACUUAAGGGUAUGCGUAUGGGGUGACUUGCGGCGCAUUAGCUAGUUGGUGGGGUAGAAGCCUACCAAGGCGAUGAUGCGUAGCCGGACUGAGAGGUUGAACGGCCACAUUGGGACUGAGACACGGCCCAGACUCCUACGGGAGGCAGCAGUAGGGAAUUUUCGGCAAUGGGGGGAACCCUGACCGAGCAAUGCCGCGUGAAUGAAGAAAUACUUAGGUAUGUAAAGUUCUUUUAUUGGGGAAGAAUGUUUUGUGUAGAACAAGAGUGACGGUACCCAUUGAAUAAGCCCCGGCUAACUAUGUGCCAGCAGCCGCGGUAAUACAUAGGGGGCAAGCGUUAUCCGGAAUUAUUGGGCAUAAAGGGUGCGUAGGCGGCAUGUUAAGUUUAAGGUAUAAGCUCAUGGCUCAACCAUGGGAGGCUUUAGAAACUGGCAUGCUAGAGUGCAGUAAAGGCAAGUGGAAUUCCAUGUGUAGCGGUAAAAUGCGUAAAUAUAUGGAGGAACACCAGUGGCGAAGGCGGCUUGCUG